CGGAGGUCAGGAGUUGACCUGAAUGGAGCAGGGGACCAAGAAAGCCCCAGGGCUAGAGACCUAGAGGUGGGGACUGGGGACUUGAACCCAGGCCCUUGCACAUAGUAACCAGUACACUCAACCAGUUGCACCACUACCUGGUCCCAGGAGAGAAAUAGAGCCAGCUGCAGACCUGCUUCACUGCUCAUGAAGUUUCUCCCUCUGCAGCCACCAGGUUCCAGCCACCAGGUUCCAGAUGUUACCAUGAUGGGCAGAUGACUUCACCAAUGUGUCCUGGAACCCCACCUACCCAGAUCCCUAUCCCACUAGGGAAAGAGAGAGACAGGUUGGGAGUAUGGGUCAACCUGCCUAUGCCCAUGUUCAGCGGGGAAGCAAUUACAGAAGGCAGACCUUCCACCUUCUGCACCUCAUAAUACCCCUGGGUCCAUGCUCCUAGAGGGUUAAAGAAUAGGAAAGCUAUCAGGGGAGGGAAUGGGAUAUGGAAUUCUAAUGGUGGGAAUUGUGUGGAAUUGUACCCCUCUUAUGCUAUGGUCUUGUCAGUGUUUCCAUUUUAUAAAUAAAAAAUAAAAAAAAAAGAAAGAAAAAAAUCUCUUCUCAGUUGCAGCUGACUGCCACAUGAUGGGGAUCUUUCCUGUCAUGGACAUU